rnacentral:rRNA from 1 species
UACGGAGGAUGCGAGCGUUAUCCGGAUUUAUUGGGUUUAAAGGGUGCGUAGGCGGGCUUUUAAGUCAGCGGUAAAAAUUCGGGGCUCAACCCCGUCCGGCCGUUGAAACUGGGGGCCUUGAGUGGGCGAGAAGAAGGCGGAAUGCGUGGUGUAGCGGUGAAAUGCAUAGAUAUCACGCAGAACCCCGAUUGCGAAGGCAGUCUUCCGGCGCCCUACUGACGCUGAGGCACGAAAGUGCGGGGAUCGAACAGG